AGCCCCAAAAGCGCGUAGAUGGAUCUCAUGAUUGAGCUGACGGUCUGCCGCAAGGCGAGCUACCGUCUGUCCCAGCCCCUGCCUCUCGGCGCCCCCUUAAUGCUCUUAGCUGAGUGUCCCGCGGAGUCCGAAGCAUUUACUUUGAAAAAAUUAGAGUGUUCAAAGCAGACCCGGUCGCCUGAAUACUGCAGCUAGGAAUAAUGGAACAGGACUCCAGUUCUAUUUUGUGGGUUUUCUUCUCUGAGCUGGGGCCAUAAUUAAGAGGGACGGCCGGGGGCAUUCGUAUUUUGCUGCUAGAGGUGAAAUUCUUGGACCGAAUGUUUUCA
rnacentral:rRNA from 1 species